UGGAAGUAAAAAAGUCGUAACAAGGUCUCCGUUGGUGAACCAGCGGAGGGAUCAUUACCGAGUUUACAACUCCCAAACCCAAUGUGAACGUUACCAAACUGUUGCCUCGGCGGGAUCUCUGCCCCGGGUGCGUCGCAGCCCCGGACCAAGGCGCCCGCCGGAGGACCAACCAAAACUCUUAUUGUAUACCCCCUCGCGGGUUUUUUACUAUCUGAGCCAUCUCGGCGCCCCUCGUGGGCGUUUCGAAAAUGAAUCAAAACUUUCAACAACGGAUCUCUUGGUUCUGGCAUCGAUGAAGAACGCAGCGAAAUGCGAUAAGUAAUGUGAAUUGCAGAAUUCAGUGAAUCAUCGAAUCUUUGAACGCACAUUGCGCCCGCCAGUAUUCUGGCGGGCAUGCCUGUCCGAGCGUCAUUUCAACCCUCGAACCCCUCCGGGGGGUCGGCGUUGGGGAUCGGCCCUUUACGGGGCCGGCCCCGAAAUACAGUGGCGGUCUCGCCGCAGCCUCUCCUGCGCAGUAGUUUGCACACUCGCAUCGGGAGCGCGGCGCGUCCACAGCCGUUAAACACCCCAAACUUCUGAAAUGUUGACC
rnacentral:rRNA from 1 species